rnacentral:lncRNA from 1 species
CAUCUGGAUGUGCUCUUUGAGUCUAGAAUUCACACAUUUUAAUUCUUAGAAUUCUCUAUCAUAUCCAGAAAGCCCUGUACAGAGGAAGACUACUGAUGGAGGUCCUGAACUCUAGUUUCUAGUCACUGUCCUUCUCCGAGCCUGUUUCUGUUUUGUUCUGGAAAAUGAGGGGUAGGACAGCAUUCAGAAUAACCAACAGAAAGGCCUGCAGAAGCAAGAUCACAGACAACGAGAGCUGGUGGGAGGGUACAGCAAAGACGGAUGGUGUGUAAUAGGUAACACUGCCCGGAGGACCACGUGAGAACAACUGCAGACGGACAAUGUGAAGAAACGAAGGGGAUUUGAAGGUGACUGGUGGUGAACAAAGG